rnacentral:rRNA from 1 species
AUACGGAGGAUCCGAGCGUUAUCCGGAUUUAUUGGGUUUAAAGGGUGCGCAGGCGGCCAUUUAAGUCAGCGGUUAAAUCGUGGGGCUCAACCCCAUUCUGCCGUUGAUACUGGGUGGCUUGAUUGCGGUCGAGGUUGGCGGACUUCGUUGUGUAGCGGGGAAAUGCAUAGAUAUGACGAAGAACACCGAUUGCGUAGGCAGCUGACCAGACCGCAAAUGACGCUCAUGCACGAAAGUGCGGGGAUCGAACAGGAUUAGAUACCCUGGUAGUCCGCACAGUAAACGAUGAAUACUUGUUUUCGGCGAUAUAAUGUCGGAGGCAAAGCGAAAGCGAUAAGUAUUCCACCUGGGGAGUACGCCGGCAACGGUGAAACUCAAAUGAAUUGGCGGGG